AGCAUAUCAAUAAGCGGAGGAAAAGAAACCAACCGGGAUUGCCCCAGUAACGGCGAGUGAAGCGGCAAGAGCUCAAAUUUGAAAUCUGGCCCCCCCGGGGGUCCGAGUUGUAAUUUGCAGAGGAUGCUUCGGGCGUGGCCCCUGUCUAAGUGCCCUGGAACGGGCCGUCAGAGAGGGUGAGAGCCCCGUCUUGGGCAGGGUGCCCGCGCCCGUGUGAAGCUCCUUCGACGAGUCGAGUUGUUUGGGAAUGCAGCUCUAAAUGGGUGGUAAAUUUCAUCUAAAGCUAAAUACCGGCCGGAGACCGAUAGCGCACAAGUAGAGUGAUCGAAAGAUGAAAAGCACUUUGAAAAGAGAGUUAAACAGCACGUGAAAUUGUUGAAAGGGAAGCGCUUGCGACCAGACUCGCCCCCGGGGUUCAGCCGGCAUUCGUGCCGGUGCCCUUCCCCGGGGGCGGGCCAGCGUCGGUUUGGGCGGCCGGUCAAAGGCCCCGGGAAUGUAUCGCCCUCCGGGGCGUCUUAUAGCCCGGGGUGCAAUGCGGCCAGCCCGGACCGAGGAACGCGCUCCGGCACGGACGCUGGCGUAAUGGUCACAAACGACCCGUCUUGAAACACGGACCAAGGAGUCUAACAUCUACGCGAGUGUUCGGGUGUCAAACCCGUACGCGCAGUGAAAGCGAACGGAGGUGGGAGCCCCCCCGGGGGCGCACCAUCGACCGAUCCUGAUGUCUUCGGAUGGAUUUGAGUACGAGCGUAGCUGUGGGGACCCGAAAGAUGGUGAACUAUGCCUGAAUAGGGCGAAGCCAGAGGAAACUCUGGUGGAGGCUCGCAGCGGUUCUGACGUGCAAAUCGAUCGUCAAAUUUGGGUAUAGGGGCGAAAGACUAAUCGAACCAUCUGGUAGCUGGUUCCUGCCGA
rnacentral:rRNA from 1 species